AAAUGGUAUAAAACUUCAGGAAAAUAUCCACCACUGUGUAUUUUAGACCAGAGAUCGUUGGUCUUUUCAGCAUUCCUGAUGGCUUCCCUUGUGUGAUGCCUCUGACAGCAGACAGCCCAAGCUUGGAAACCUCUCUGCACCCUCCUGACCCCAUCCUGGGACCCUAGAGCUGCCUGGGGACCUGCUGUUCCUAUGCAAGCGCAGCCAGCCUGCUGCCAUCAGCAGCUAGAGCGAAUCCAGCAGACCUGACCAUCUGCUGGACCUCCUCCCCAGGGCCUGCAGUUUCAACAACAAGCACUCUCCAAAGGAUCAGAAGCAUAGCUGUCAUCACAGCGUGGUCCCAAGUGUUGCAAGGAAUGACAAGGAGGACAAGGUGGCAGGUGAGGGGUGCCUGGUACGAAGCCUGGAGCUGCGAGCACGGCACCUGGCCAGUCUCCCUCCAGGGAGGAUUUUGGCCACUAGUGUGUGACACAGCUGGCCUGCUGGCCGGGAGGGUGAGCUGUGGCAGCCACUGUGAGCACCAUCACAUCACAAGGAGUGGAGCAAACCCACCCACCCAGGAAACCGAGGGGAAUCAGGAGCAACUGGCACAGUGGCUGCUUUAGGAAAUGUGCUGUGGAAUUGGAUAGAGAAUCAGGGAGGAGAGGAUGAGCUCGUCCGAGAGGAGCACGUGCUUAAACUGCGAUGGUACGAACGGGGAACUACAGCAUCUUCACUUCGCUCACCAUGGUCUGCUCAGCUUUGCUGUGAUGGGAGUUAGUGACAAAGCUUGCAUUGAUUUGCACAGAGCAGAGCGAGGUCACCGCGCACCCAGGUGAUGUUUUAAUUCUGAAUUCCCUGUGUCUUGAAAACACAAGCCUUGAGGCCCUUGAGGCUGAGUUGGGGUCCUAAACCUGAAGGCUGAGGUGUGGGGCCACAGCAUCCCUGCCCAGGGCUUUUGCUGCAGGGGACCAGUGGGUGGUUGGUGCAGAGACCGCUACUGAGAGCUUCUCAAUUAGAUACCAGUCUUUAAUUAGGCACUGGGAUCGCUGCUGUGUACCAGACCUCUGUACAUCCACUGCGCUCUUAUCUCCCUGUUUCUCUCUGACUUUGUGGCUGUCACUUGUCUUCUCCAUCUCAUCGUUACCUGUCUCUCGUUAUCUACCCUUCUCCUGUGUGGUGAGAGUGUAGAUGCUGGCUGGGAACAGAGUCUGGUGAUGAAGGUGAGGAGAAGAACAUGCCCCGACUGAGGGGGGUGGUGAAUCCUACAUGGGGAGGUGGGAGUCAUCUCAUCGUUACCUGUCUCUCAUUACCUGUCUCUCGUUAUCUACCCUUCUCCUGUGUGGUGAGAGUGUAGAUGCUGGCUGGGAACAGAGUCUGGUGAUGAAGGUGAGGAGAAGAACAUGCCCCGACUGAGGGGGGUGGUGAAUCCUACAUGGGGAGGUGGGAGAGGACAGGCUGUGAUUUUUGGGUACCCUUCAUGUGCUGCUCUAACAAGAGCAAACAACAAAAUAAAAGGCUGGAAAUAGCCCA
rnacentral:lncRNA from 1 species